rnacentral:tRNA from 1 species
GAGGGUAUAGCUCAGUGGUAGAGCGUGUGUUUAGCAUGCACAAGGUCCUGGGUUCAAUCCUCAGUACCUCCA